ACCCUGCCCACAGUCAGAUGGGUCCUGUAUAUCCAGUGGACCAGAAGGAAUGGCAAAUGACCAGGGGUCUCUGUAGCUGCUGCCCUCCUGGAAAGUUGACAGUGUCAUGCUGACCACCGUUCUGGCAUUGAAGGCAGACAUAGGACAGGGUAAUACUGCUUUGCCCUCCUGACUGAGCUGGGAGGGCCUGGAGAACUCAGCAUGCUGGCAGCCUCCAUUGAGGUGAAUAUGGGCUUCCAAGGAUCCCUAGGUCCAGGAUAUACAGAGGUCAAGAUUCCCCUCAUUUGAACUCAAGGAUGCCACACAACUGUCAUCAUCACUGUGCCUACCCUGUGACUUGUGAAGACAUUGCAAGCUGGUACCUCUGUACACAGCUACACAAAGUUCAGGAUAGAUCAUCGGAGACUACAUGAGCUGGCCCUUAGGAUGGCGCCUUACAGGGUUGACUUAGCACCCACCAAAAAUUCCUAAAGACUUUUGUUGUCGUAAUUACAGUGUAAUUAACAGUAAUUACAAUGAUGGAACUACGAGGUGGUGAGUCCUCAAAUGCCACUGUCCCCUCUGUGUGGAGUUAUAUCCCCUCGUAUCAGUACUAAGGUGGAACAGAUGUGGGCAUUUCUCUUCGUAUGUUUUAUCUGCAGGUCAUCUUUGCAGUGCUAUUCCACAGGAAGUAAUGUCUAGCUUAGAGACAUUAGCCCUCAGAGACCAUGUUCUUCUGCGUAGGGGAGAGUUUAUUUUCAAAAGGGAUGAAUUUUAAAUGCAGAAAUUUGGAAAAUCAUUUGCUUUUCCAGAUAGUAUACUUCUGCAGUGGCAGUGCCUGGAGCAGUGGACAGGGGUCCCUGGGACACUUGGUAUUUGUGCCCUGUGUGAUGGGGGCUGACUGAGGACACAGGUUCUCUGGACACCUGGGCCCAGUUGUUAGCAUAGGGCAUCUAUUUGUCUGUGGAAUGUUGGCUGUGUACCAUGGGGUUGGCUUGAUGAACAGCCAGUGUUUCCUUGGGCUAUUUUUGCUUGUGUAGUAGGAAGUCUAUGAUGGCGGACAUGCCUACUCACUGGAGCUUGGGGUGCAUCUUGGUGCGCACUUUUCUUCGAAGGAGCACACCUAUGGUAAAUCCCCAAUUGCUCCUCUAGAAUCAAUCCAAGAGAAGUCAUGAGGUCCUGUGCUUCAGUGACCUGUCGGGGCAUUAAUAACCUGCUCCGGCCUGACCCUCGACUUUGGGUUGUGCCAGAUAAGGCCUUGACUUGUUCUGGGGAAUUUCCUGCACUUUACCUUUGGAGGUCAAAAUAUACACCAUAAACUUUUUUUUCUGUCUUCAACCUUCUUCUCUGUAAUUGGAGAAGAAUUACAUUCCUUAGUGUUUGAAUUGUAGGACAGGCAAUGUCCCUCAAAGCCAUUUGUCCUGCCUCAAAGUUCUAUAAUUUUUUUUUUUUUUGUCACUUGGCCAAAAGAUAUGGCUAGUCCAUGGUUCCUGGUUUGGCAAUCUUGUGGACUUUCCCUUUUCUUGACAAGAAAUGGUACCUGUCAUGGGAGGUUGACUUGGCUUAAAGCAGACACAGUCUCUAAGCUGGACUGGGAGGCCCUGGAGGCCAGGGGAUCUGUAAGAAGCAGACCCUGGGGUCACAGUCUUCAAAGAGUGUUCCAGUGGUUCUGCUUGCUGCAGAUAUCCUAGCUUCCAGGGCCUCCAAAUUCCGUUCCAAGACUCUGUCCCCUUCAAUUCAGUCAAAGUCUCAUGACAGACACCCUCUCAUCUCAAGAGAAAGGAAUCUCACCAAGAUUUCCCAAACUCAGGAACCAAGGACUAGCCAUAUAUUUGGUCCAAAUAAUAAAAAGGUCUGUGGAAGUCUCAGGCAGGACGUGCAGCGUUCAGGGACAAGGCCUGUCCAAGCCUCUGGGUCAAAUACCCAUGAAAAGAAGUUUGGGGACAAAAUAAAAAACUUCAUUGUUUCAAUUUUGACCCCCAAAGACAAAGGGCAGGAGAACUUACUGCAAAAAGUCCGGGCCUUAUCUGGCACCACCCACAGUCGAGGGUCCGGCAUGAGCAGAUCAUUCAUGCCUCAGGAGAACACUGAAGCACAGGACCUCAAGACCUCUGCUGGACCAAUCCUAGAGGAGAAACUGGGGAUUCACCAUAGAUGUGCUCCCUCAAGGAAAAGUGCGCACCAAGACAGACCCCAUGCUCCAGUGAGUAGGCAUGUCCGCCACCACAGAAUUCCUACUGCACAAUCAAAAAUAGCCCAAGGAAACACUGGCUUUGUUCAUCAAGCCAAACACCAGGUACACAGCCAACAUUCCACGAAGAAGUCGAUGCCCUAUGCUAACAACUGGGCCCAGGUGUCGAGAGAACCUGUGUCCCGUGCCAGCUACUAUCAGCACAGAGCACAGGCACCACUUGCCCCAGGGAACCCUGUGCACUGUCCUAGGCACUGCCCCUGUCAGCGUGUGCUAUCUGGAAAGCCGAG
ensembl:lncRNA